CUGAGAAGUGUCAAUGGGGCCACUUUACCUUGAAUGAGCCCUUAAAAUAUGUGCUAACUACUUAUGCUAAACGAUCUGUUUGACCUUGUGUUUAGCUG